AGGCGCGCAAAUUACCCACUCCCGGCACGGGGAGGUAGUGACGAAAAAUAACGAUACGGGACUCAUCCGAGGCCCCGUAAUCGGAAUGAGAACAAUUUAAAUCCUUUAACGAGGAUCAAUUGGAGGGCAAGUCUGGUGCCAGCAGCCGCGGUAAUUCCAGCUCCAAUAGCGUAUAUUAAAGUUGUUGCGGUUAAAAAGCUCGUAGUCGAAUCUGUGUCCCGCGCCGCCGGUUCGUCGCUCGCGGCGUUUAACUGGCGUGUCCGCGGGACGUCCUGCCGUGGGCUUUGGCCUCUCACGAGUCCUGGCCCAAUCUUAGUCCCGCCGCGGUGCUCUUCACCGAGUGUCGAGGCGGGCCGGCACGUUUACUUUGAACAAAUUAGAGUGCUUAAAGCAGGCUAAAACUUUGCCUGAAUACUUCGUGCAUGGAAUAAUGGAAUAGGACCUCGGUUCUAUUUUGUUGGUUUUCGGAACCCCGAGGUAAUGAUUAAUAGGAACGGAUGGGGGCAUUCGUAUUGCGACGUUAGAGGUGAAAUUCUUGGAUCGUCGCAAGACGGACAGAAGCGAAAGCAUUUGCCAAAAACGUUUUCAUUGAUCAAGAACGAAAGUUAGAGGUUCGAAGGCGAUCAGAUACCGCCCUAGUUCUAACCAUAAACGAUGCCAGCUAGCGAUCCGCCGACGUUCCUCCGAUGACUCGGCGGGCAGCUUCCGGGAAACCAAAGCUUUUGGGUUCCGGGGGAAGUAUGGUUGCAAAGCUGAAACUUAAAGGAAUUGACGGAAGGGCACCACCAGGAGUGGAGCCUGCGGCUUAAUUUGACUCAACACGGGAAACCUCACCAGGCCCGGACACCGGAAGGAUUGACAGAUUGAGAGCUCUUUCUUGAUUCGGUGGGUGGUGGUGCAUGGCCGUUCUUAGUUGGUGGAGCGAUUUGUCUGGUUAAUUCCGAUAACGAACGAGACUCUGGCCUGCUAACUAGGCGUAUUUCCGACAUCUCGAAGACCCGUCGGCUUGGUGUGCUCGUCACUCCUAGUCGUGCGCGGUUUUUACUGUCGGCGUACAAACAAUUCUUCUUAGAGGGACAGGCGGCUUCUAGCCGCACGAGAUAGAGCAAUAACAGGUCUGUGAUGCCCUUAGAUGUUCUGGGCCGCACGCGCGCUACACUGAAGGAAUCAGCGUGUCUUCCCUGGCCGAGCGGCCCGGGUAACCCGCUGAACCUCCUUCGUGCUAGGGAUUGGGGCUUGAAAUUGUUCCCCAUGAACGAGGAAUUCCCAGUAAGCGCGAGUCAUAAGCUCGCGUUGAUUACGUCCCUGCCCUUUGUACACACCGCCCGUCGCUACUACCGAUUGAAUGAUUUAGUGAGGUCUUCGGACCGGCACGCGGUGGCGUUUCUACGUCGCCGAUGCUGCUGGAAAGAUGACCAAACUUGAUCAUUU
rnacentral:rRNA from 1 species